AAGGGUAUAGCUUAAUGGUAGAGCAGGUGUCUUCAACAUACUUAGUAGUAGUUCAAUUCUACUUACCCUUG